GACGAACGCUGGCGGCGUGCUUAACACAUGCAAGUCGAACGGAAAGGCCCUGCUUGCAGGGUACUCGAGUGGCGAACGGGUGAGUAACACGUGGGUGAUCUGCCCUGCACUUCGGGAUAAGCCUGGGAAACUGGGUCUAAUACCGGAUAGGAGCCAUUUUUAGUGUGAUGGUUGGAAAGUUUUUUCGGUGUAGGAUGAGCCCGCGGCCUAUCAGCUUGUUGGUGGGGUAAUGGCCUACCAAGGCGGCGACGGGUAGCCGGCCUGGGAGGGUGGACGGCCACAUUGGGACUGAGAUACGGCCCAGACUCCUACGGGAGGCAGCAGUGGGGAAUAUUGCACAAUGGGCGCAAGCCUGAUGCAGCGACGCCGCGUGGGGGAUGACGGCCUUCGGGUUGUAAACUCCUUUCGCUAGGGACGAAGCUUUUUGUGACGGUACCUAGAUAAGAAGCACCGGCUAACUACGU
rnacentral:rRNA from 1 species